CUUUGGCUUGUAUUCUCGUUCUUGUCUCUUUCUGCGUCCCUAACCUCAGCUUGUCCUUGACCAUUCUCUUUUACAUUCAAUUGGGCCAUUCUAAGGCCCGGUAAUAUGUUUCUUUGGUUUUUCCUUUUUAUUUAUUUUAGUUUACUUUAUUCUGCAUAUUGGGACAUAUGUUAUCCUAACAUUACGACAAACUUUACUACCAUGCAGAAUUAAGUCAGCAUAUGCUGACCUGUAAGAGAAAGGUCAAGGAGAUUCAUCACAG